rnacentral:rRNA from 1 species
GAUGAACGCUGGCGGCGUGCCUAAUACAUGCAAGUCGAGCGAACAGAUAAGGAGCUUGCUCCUUUGACGUUAGCGGCGGACGGGUGAGUUACACGUGGAUAACCUACCUAUAAGACUGGGAUAACUUCGGGAAACCGGAGCUAAUACCGGAUGACAUAUUGAACCGCAUGGUUCAAUAGUGAAAGGCGGCUUUGCUGUCACUUAUAGAUGGAUCCGCGCCGUAUUAGCUAGUUGGUAAGGUAACGGCUUACCAAGGCAACGAUACGUAGCCGACCUGAGAGGGUGAUCGGCCACACUGGAACUGAGACACGGUCCAGACUCCUACGGGAGGCAGCAGUAGGGAAUCUUCCGCAAUGGGCGAAAGCCUGACGGAGCAACGCCGCGUGAGUGAUGAAGGUCUUCGGAUCGUAAAACUCUGUUAUCAGGGAAGAACAAAUGUGUAAGUAACUGUGCACAUCUUGACGGUACCUGAUCAGAAAGCCACGGCUAACUACGU